rnacentral:rRNA from 1 species
UACGUAGGGUGCGAGCGUUGCCCGGAUUUAUUGGGCGUAAAGGGCGCGUAGGCGGCUCGGCACGUCCGUUGUGAAAUCGCCCGGCUCAACUGGGCGGGGUCAGCGGAUACGGUCGAGCUUGAGCAAGCUAGGGGGCAAUGGAAUUCCCGGUGUAGUGGUGGAAUGCGUAGAUAUCGGGAGGAACACCAGUGGCGAAGGCGACUACCUGGCCUGUUCUUGACGCUGAGGCGCGAAAGCUAGGGGAGCAAACGGGG